AGAGUUUGAUCAUGGCUCAGAAUGAACGCUGGCGGCGUGCUUAACACAUGCAAGUCGCACGAGAACUCUUUAGCUUGCUAAAGAUAGUAAAGUGGCGCACGGGUGAGUAACGCGUGGGUAAUCUUCCYUYMAAWUKGGGRWWAMYYSSCCRAAAGGCGGGCUAAUACCGAAUAACAUCUUUGAAACCUAGGUUUUGAAGAUCAAAGGUGGCCUCUAUUUAUAUGCUACUGUUUGAAGAUGAGCCCGCGUACCAUUAGCUUGUUGGUAGGGUAAUGGCCUACCAAGGCUGCGAUGGUUAGCUGGUCUGAGAGGAUGAUCAGCCACACUGGAACUGACACACGGUCCAGACUCCUACGGGAGGCAGCAGUGAGGAAUUUUGCGCAAUGGGGGAAACCCUGACGCAGCAACGCCGCGUGAGUGAUGAAGGCCUUCGGGUCGUAAAGCUCUGUCAAGUGGGAAGAACCUGAUUAAUGAUAAUACCAUUAAUCAUUGACGGUACCACUGAAGGAAGCACCGGCUAACUCCGUGCCAGCCGCCGCGA
rnacentral:rRNA from 1 species